rnacentral:rRNA from 1 species
ACUCCUAACGGGAGGCAGCAGUAGGGAAUCUUCCACAAUGGGCGCAAGCCUGAUGGAGCAACACCGCGUGAGUGAAGAAGGGUUUCGGCUCGUAAAGCUCUGUUGUUAAAGAAGAACACGUAUGAGAGUAACUGUUCAUACGUUGACGGUAUUUAACCAGAAAGUCACGGCUAACUACGUGCCAGCAGCCGCGGUAAUACGUAGGUGGCAAGCGUUAUCCGGAUUUAUUGGGCGUAAAGAGAGUGCAGGCGGUUUUCUAAGUCUGAUGUGAAAGCCUUCGGCUUAACCGGAGAAGUGCAUCGGAAACUGGAUAACUUGAGUGCAGAAGAGGGUAGUGGAACUCCAUGUGUAGCGGUGGAAUGCGUAGAUAUAUGGAAGAACACCAGUGGCGAAGGCGGCUACCUGGUCUGCAACUGACGCUGAGACUCGAAAGCAUGGGUAGCGAACAGGAUUAGAUACCCUGGUAGGAUAGAG